rnacentral:rRNA from 1 species
GACGAACGCUGGCGGCGUGCCUAAUACAUGCAAGUCGAACGCUUCUUUUUCCACCGGAGCUUACUCCACCGGAAAAAGAGGAGUGGCGAACGGGUGAGUAACCCGUGGGUAACCUGCCCAUCAGAAGGGGAUAAACCUUGGAAACAGGUGCUAAUACCGUAUAACAAUCGAAACCGCAUGGUUCUGAUUUGAAAGGCGAUUUCGGGUGUCGCUGAUGGAUGGACGCGCGGUGCAUUAGCUAGUUGGUGAGGUAACGGCUCACAAAGGCCACGAUGCAUAGCCGACCUGAGAGGGUGAUCGGCCACAUUGGGACUGAGACACGGCCCAAACUCCUACGGGAGGCAGCAGUAGGGAAUCUUCGGCAAUGGACGAAAGUCUGACCGAGCAACGCCGCGUGAGUGAAGAAGGUUUUCGGAUCGUAAAACUCUGUUGUUAGAGAAGAACAAGGAUGAGAGUAACUGUUCAUCCCUUGACGGUAUCUAACCAGAAAGCCACGGCUAACUACGUGCCAGCCGCCGCAGUAA